AGUGAACGCUGGCGGUAGGCCUAACACAUGCGAGUCGAACGGCAGCACAGUAAGAGCUUGCUCUUACGGGUGGCGAGUGGCGGACGGGUGAGGAAUACAUCGGAAUCUACUUUUUCGUGGGGGAUAACGUAGGGAAACUUACGCUAAUACCGCAUACGACCUACGGGUGAAAGCAGGGGAUCUUCGGACCUUGCGCGAUUGAAUGAGCCGAUGUCGGAUUAGCUAGUUGGCGGGGGAAAGGCCCACCAAGGCGACGAUCCGUAGCUGGUAUGAGAGGAUGAUCAGCCACACUGGAACUGAGACACGGUCCAGACUCCUACGGGAGGCAGCCGUGGGGAAUAUUGGAGAAUGGGCGCAAGCCUGAUCCAGCCAUACCGCGUGGGUGAAGAAGGCCUUCGGGUUGUAAAGGCCUUUUGUUGGGAAAGAAAAGCAGCAGGUUAAUACCCCGCUGUUCUGACGGUACCCAAAGAAUAAGCACCGGCUAACUUCGUG
rnacentral:rRNA from 1 species